UACGUAGGGUCCGAGCGUUGUCCGGAGUUACUGGGCGUAAAGCGCGCGCAGGCGGCGGUGCUGGCCCGGCGUGAAAGCCCCGGGCUCAACCUGGGAAUUGCAUUUGAGACUGAAUAGCUAGGGUGCGGAAGAGGGGAAGCGGAAUUCCCGGUGUAGUGGUGGAAUGCGUAGAUAUCGGGAGGAACACCAGUGGCGAAGGCGGCUUCCUGGACCAGAGCUGACACUGAGGCGCGAAAGCGUGGGGAGCGAUCCGG
rnacentral:rRNA from 1 species